rnacentral:rRNA from 1 species
AAGAGAUAAGUGCUGAAAGCAUCUAAGCACGAAACUUGCCCCGAGAUGAGUUCUCCCUGAGACUUAGAGUCUCCUGAAGGAACGUUGAAGACGACGACGUUGAUAGGCCGGGUGUGUAAGCGCAGCGAUGCGUUGAGCUAACCGGUACUAAUGAACCGUGAGGCUUAACCUU